rnacentral:lncRNA from 1 species
GGAUGAUGGUGCCUUUGGCAUUGUUAUGUUCUUUUAGCAUCUCCAAUAGUUAUACAUUGGAUGUCUUAAGUAACCUUUUUAAUAUAAAUUUUAGACACUUUAGCAUAUCUAAGACAGUACAAACAAUUGUUAAGACACUCUAAAUACAUGUGUCACUUUGUGAAUGAUCAACUUAAAAAAAAAAAAACUAAAAUCAACAAUAAUUAAGACACUCUAUUUACAUCUUUCACCAUUGGAGAUACUAUAGUUAAAAACUGUAACAGAGUUUUCUGGAAACGUUACGUUGUUAUAUACAAUAAUGUUGAAAACUUGUUUUAUAUUUGUCUUGGUUUUGAUAAAACUUUCUUUAUAUUCGUC